AACGCUCCAUGGGCCAUCAUAUCAUUGACGAGGCAACAACAAGAUGGACCACAAAGACCGCUUCAAUGUUCGUUAACGACGCACGCGACGCAUUACGAAGACAAAAUAUAAUCGAGCCAACCAAUGCCAUGGAUUAGGUAUGCAACACAGUAACCCACUAGAUGAUCAAGGCAAAACAGCCAAGAAAACAACUGAAAAGGUAAGAACGCGUAGAAGUUGCUGCGCAAGCAGACAUCCAACCACCCGUAACAAACCAAACACCACUCAUGCACCUUUAUGGUAGACAUCCCCGAAGAUCGCCCAACUAUUAGCCACCCCCUUGGCAACAAGGCCAUGAGAG
rnacentral:misc_RNA from 1 species